CCUACGGGAGGCAGCAGUAGGGAAUAUUGCUCAAUGGGGGAAACCCUGAAGCAGCAACGCCGCGUGGAGGAUGGAGGUUUUCGGAUUGUAAACUCCUUUUGUUAGAGAAGAUAAUGACGGUAUCUAACGAAUAAGCACCGGCUAACUCCGUGCCAGCAGCCGCGGUAAUACGGAGGGGGCAAGCGUUACUCGGAAUCACUGGGCGUAAAGAGCGCGUAGGCGGGAUAGCAAGGCAGAUGUGAAAUCCUAUGGCUUAACCAUAGAACUGCAUUUGAAACUGUUAUUCUAGAGUAUGGGAGAGGUAGCUGGAAUUCUUGGUGUAGGGGUAAAAUCCGUAGAGAUCAAGAGGAAUACUCAUUGCGAAGGCGACCUGCUAGAACAUAACUGACGCUGAUGCGCGAAAGCGUGGGGAGCGAACAGGAUUAGAUACCCUUGUAGUC
rnacentral:rRNA from 1 species